CCCUUAGAUGUUCUGGGCUGCACGCGCGCUACACUGACACUAUCAACGAGUGCUCCUGGUUUGAAAGGAUCGGGUAAUCUUUUGAAAUGGUGUCGUGAUGGGGAUAGAUCAUUGCAAUUAUUGAUCUUGAACGAGGAAUUCCUAGUAAAUGUGAGUCAUCAGCUCACGUUGAUUACGUCCCUGCCCUUUGUACACACCGCCCGUCGCUCCUACCGAUUGAGUGAACCGAUGAGUAGUCCGGAUUGCGAUCGACCUCGGUUAAUCGCGAGAAGUUCCGCAAAUCACUCCACUUAGAGGAAGGAGAAGUCGUAACA
rnacentral:rRNA from 1 species